rnacentral:tRNA from 1 species
UGCGCACCUCGGAGUAGCGCACCUCGAUGCGCACGAAGGGAUCAGGGGUUCCAAAUCCCCUCAGCUCCACCA